GACGAACGCUGGCGGCGUGCCUAGUACAUGCAAGUAGAACGCUGAAGAGAGGAGCUUGCUCUUCUUGGAUGAGGUGCGAACGGGUGAGUAACGCGUAGGUAACCUGCCUUGUGGCGGGGGAUAACUAUUGGAAACGAUAGGUAAUACCGCAUAACGAUGGAUGACACGUGUGAUUUAUUUGAGAGGGGCAAUUGCUCGACUACAAGAUGGACCUGCUUUGUAUUAGCUAGUAGGUGAGGGAAUGGCUCACCUACGCGACGAUACAUAGCCGACCUGAGAGGGUGAUCGGCCACGCUGGGACUGAGACACGGCCCAGACUCCUACCGGAGGCAGCAGAACGGAAUCUUCGGCAGUGGGGGCAACCCUGACCGAGCAACGCCGCGUGAGUGAAGAAGGUUUUCGGAUCGUAAAGCUCUGUUGUAAGUCAAGAAGGGGUGUGAGAGUGGAAAGUUCACACUGUGACCGUAGCUUACCACAAAGGGAUGGCUAACUACGUGCCAUCAGCCGCAGUAAUACGUAGGUCGCGAUCGUUGUCCGGAUAUACUGUGCGAAAAGCGAGCGCAGUCGGUUUGAUAGUCUGAAGUUAAGGGCUGUGGCUCAACCAUAGUUCGCUUUGGAAACUGUCAAACUUGAGUGCAGAAGGGGAGAGUGGAAUUCCAUGUGUAGCGGUGAAAUGCGUAGAUAUAUGGAGGAACACCGGUGGCGAAAGCGGCUCUCUGGUCUGUAACUGACGCUGAGGCUCGAAAGCGUGGGGAGCGAACAGGAUUAGAUACCCUGGUAGUCCACGCCGUAAACGAUGAGUGCUAGGUGUUGGAUCCUUUCCGGGAUUCAGUGCCGCAGCUAACGCAUUAAGCACUCCGCCUGGGGAGUACGACCGCAAGGUUGAAACUCAAAGGAAUUGACGGGGGCCCGCACAAGCGGUGGAGCAUGUGGUUUAAUUCGAAGCAACGCGAAGAACCUUACCAGGUCUUGACAUCCCGAUGCUAUUUCUAGAGAUAGAAAGUUACUUCGGUACAUCGGUGACAGGUGGUGCAUGGUUGUCGUCAGCUCGUGUCGUGAGAUGUUGGGUUAAGUCCCGCAACGAGCGCAACCCCUAUUGUUAGUUGCCAUCAUUCAGUUGGGCACUCUAGCGAGACUGCCGGUAAUAAACCGGAGGAAGGUGGGGAUGACGUCAAAUCAUCAUGCCCCUUAUGACCUGGGCUACACACGUGCUACAAUGGUUGGUACAACGAGUUGCGAGUCGGUGACGGCGAGCUAAUCUCUUAAAGCCAAUCUCAGUUCGGAUUGUAGGCUGCAACUCGCCUACAUGAAGUCGGAAUCGCUAGUAAUCGCGGAUCAGCACGCCGCGGUGAAUACGUUCCCGGGCCU
rnacentral:rRNA from 1 species